rnacentral:rRNA from 1 species
AUUGAACGCUGGCGGCAGGCCUAACACAUGCAAGUCGAGCGGAGCGGCGGACGGGUGAGUAAUGCCUAGGAAUCUGCCUGGGAGUGGGGGAUAACGUCCGGAAACGGGCGCUAAUACUGCAUACUAUCAGAUGAGACUAGGCCGGAUUAGCUAGUUGGUGGGGUAAAGGCCUACCAAGGCGACGAUCCGUAACUGGGCUGAGAGGAUGAUCAGUCACACGGGAACUGAGACACGGUCCAGACUCCUACGGGAGGCAGCAGUGGGGAAUAUUGGACAAUGGGCGAAAGCCUGAUCCAGCCAUGCCGCGUGUGUGAAGAAGGUCUUAGGAUUGUAAAGCACUUUAAGUUGGGAGGCGUUACCAACAGAAGAAGCACCGGCUAACUUCGUGCCAGCAGCCGCGGUAAUUC